rnacentral:rRNA from 1 species
CAGUCGCCACGGGAAUACAGAGGGUGCAAGCGUUAAUCGGAAUUACUGGGCGUAAAUCGCGCGUAGGUGGUUUGUUAAGUUGGAUGUGAAAGCCCCGGGCUCAACCUGGGAACUGCAUCCAAAACUGGCAAGCUAGAGUACGGUAGAGGGUGGUGGAAUUUCCUGUGUAGCGGUGAAAUGCGUAGAUAUAGGAAGGAACACCAGUUGCGAAGGCGACCACCUGGACUGAUACUGACACUGAGGUGCGAAAGCGUGGGGAGCAAACAGGAUUAGAGACCCCCGUAGUCCCUGUCUCUUAUAC